AUCUUGGCCCCUACCACCCUGAGCAGACCUGGUCUCAUCUGAUGUUGGAAACUAAGCAGGCUCGGGCCUGGUUAGUAUUUUCUUAGUGUGGUGACAUGUGCUUAUAAUCCCAGCACUCAGGAGGCUGAGGCA
rnacentral:rRNA from 1 species